rnacentral:rRNA from 1 species
UGGGGAAUAUUGCACAAUGGGGGCAACCCUGAUGCAGCUAUGCCGCGUGUGUGAAGAAGGUCUUCGGAUUGUAAAGCACUUUCAGCAGGGAAGAAAGUAAAUAUGCUAAUACCAUGUUUAUGUGACGUUACUUGCAGAAGAAGCACCGGCUAACUCCGUGCCAGCAGCCGCGGUAAUACGGAGGGUGCAAGCGUUAAUCGGAAUUACUGGGCGUAAAGCGUACGCAGGCGGUUUAUUAAGUCAGAUGUGAAAUCCCUAGGCUUAACUUAGGAACUGCAUUUGAAACUAAUAAACUAGAGUAUCGUAGAGGGAGGUAGAAUUCCAGGUGUAGCGGUGAGGAUGCGUAGAUAUCUGGAGGAAUACCAGUGGCGAAGGCGACCUCCUGGACGAAGACUGACGCUCAG